GCAGUGCGCCACUCCACCGCGGCGGGGCAACCCGGCGAGGAAAGUCCGGGCAACGCAGGGCACCCUGCUUCCUAACGGGAAGGCGCGGCCAAGCGGGCCGCGACAGCCAGUGCCACAGAAAAGAACCGCCGGGCGGUGAAUGAGCGAAUGAGCGAAUGAGUGAGGGGCCCCAGGUCAAUUCACUCAUUCACCCAUUCACUCAUUGGUAAGGGUGAAAAGGUGCGGUAAGAGCGCACCAGCGGCUGGGCAACCACGCCGGCUGGGUAAACCUCAGGGGUUGAAAGACCAAAUAAGCGGACACGCGCGCUGGCUCUGGCCGGCGGGCAACGGGCGGCCCGCCCGGGUCCGCGGGUAGGUCGAUGGAGCCUUUCCGCGAGGACGGGCCGAGAUAAAUGGUGGGGACGGGGCCCCCGGGCCCCGGACAGAACCCGGCUUACCGGCGCAUUGCCUAG
rnacentral:RNase_P_RNA from 2 species